rnacentral:rRNA from 1 species
GGAGUAACGACGUGAGCGACCAACCUACGCACAGGGGAGUAACGACCGAAAGGUACGACUAAUACCGCAUGAGACCACAGUGUUGCAUGACACAGGGGUCAAAGGAGCAAUCCGGUGCAAGACGGGCUCGCGUCCGAUUAGGUAGUUGGUGGGUAACGGCCCACCAAGCCUAUGAUCGGUAGCCGACCUGAGAGGGUGAUCGGCCACAUUGGAACUGAGAUACGGUCCAAACUCCUACGGGAGGCAGCAGUGGGGAAUAUUGGGCAAUGGGGGGAAACCCUGACCCAGCAACGCCGCGUGAAGGAAGAAGGUUUUCGGAUUGUAAACUUCUGUCCUUGGUGAAGAGAAGAAGACGGUAGCCAAGGAGGAAGCCCCGGCUAACUACGUGCCAGCCGCAGC